rnacentral:misc_RNA from 1 species
UUAACUUAUUCUAUAUGACGCUCAGACAGCACACGACUCGGGUUUGUGGUCCUCUGGCAGGCACGGGCCAGCUUACCGCCGGCGGCCCCCGGGGGGGCGGGCCUGCCAAAGCAACAGUGGUACGGUAGUCAGGGGUUGGAGGUUGCCCGGAGGCAGCACUCGGUAAUGAUCCUUCCGCAGGUUCACCUACGGAAA